AAAACGGUCCUUUUCAGGACCACCAAUUUUAUUUAACAUAUCAUAU
rfam:Acyrthosiphon pisum strain LSR1 Contig1026124, whole genome shotgun sequence.